rnacentral:rRNA from 1 species
UACGAGGGGGGCGAGCGUUGUUCGGAAUUAUUGGGCGUAAAGGGCGCGUAGGCGGUCGGAUAAGUCUUGUGUGAAAUCUUCGGGCUCAACUCGAAGUCUGCACAGGAAACUAUCUGGCUUGAGUGUGGGAGAGGUGAGUGGAAUUCCUGGUGUAGCGGUGAAAUGCGUAGAUAUCAGGAGGAACACCUGUGGCGAAAGCGGAUAACUGGACCACAACUGACGCUGAGGCGCGAAAGCUAGGGGAGCAAACAGG